rfam:Paenisporosarcina sp. HGH0030 genomic scaffold acAqH-supercont1.2, whole genome shotgun sequence.
AUCUUCCACUAGGGGGACCUUGCAAUUGAUAAAUGGAAAUCAUUUAUUCAUUAAAUAAAGGUUGAGAUUAAAGUAAUGCUUUAAGACCCUUAGAACCUGAUCUGGUUUAUACCAGCGUAGGGAAGUGGAGUUGCGGAGCA